rnacentral:lncRNA from 1 species
AACAAUUUGGAAUCAUAUCUUUUAUCAAACAUUAAUAAAAGUAGUUCUAACAAAUAAUAAAAAUAGGACUAAUUGAAAGUUAUGACGUGACUCACAAUUGAGUCUAAAUUUAAAAAUAAUAAUAAUCAACCGUUAAUAAAUAUUCUAGUGUUUCUAAAAAUUAAAGUACUUCAUGAUGGAGAUCCAUUGGUCCAAUAUGCAUCCAUCCACCGCCGUCCAGCAUACUAAUUUCUACCUGAAAAUUGUAAAUAGAGAGGGAUGAGUAUAACGAAUUAUACUCAAUGAGGUGCUUGCUACUCCACAUUCAAAUCAAACGUGAAAUUAUGCAUAAAUUCUCUUACCAACAUAACAUGAGAAUUAUCACACCAUGACAAAUGAUAAUUCAAGCAAGCGCUGCAAAUAACGUGAAGGCUAAAUUGUGCCUUAAACUGUAUCAUAAUUUCUCCCAAAGGAGCUCUGAACUGAAGUAAUUAAAUCCAUACAUAACAACGUAUUUGAAAAGAUGUGGACAAACCACUAAUAGCACUGAGCAUCUCACCUUUUGAAGAUGAACGUGGAAAACAAAAUUGCUGAAAACGUGAUUCUCUAUUGAAAUUCCAAAUCCUUAAAAAAGCCUUAAUAAUAUGGAGAAAUAUUUUUAAAGAGGAGGAGAGAAUAAAGACUUGUAGAAGAAGAAUGAGGAAUUAAU